UAUUUUAAAGAGAGUUUGAUCCUGGCUCAGGACGAACGCUGGCGGCGUGCCUAAUACAUGCAAGUCGAACGAACGGAGGAAGAGCUUGCUCUUCCAAAGUUAGUGGCGGACGGGUGAGUAACACGUGGGCAACCUGCCUGUAAGUUGGGGAUAACUCCGGGAAACCGGGGCUAAUACCGAAUGAUAGAAUGUGGCGCAUGCCACGCUUUUGAAAGAUGG
rnacentral:rRNA from 1 species